AUGAACGCGUUUCUUUAUAGGCUCGCUACUCAUUGUGAUGAACCAACGGUGCCCUUUAACCCUUACAAGAAUCAAUUAAGAGGGCUGGCUGAUUUUGUCGGGGCAAUUUUUUGCUCUAUUGUUCUGCAUGAUUUGGUUCUAAAGGUGUUGUUGUUAUGUUUACUAGAGCACUUUGUUUAUACAAACGUCAAGGAAUCUGAGUCAAUGUGCUUUUCGCUAAGUUUGUUGAAACUGAGAUGGGCUUAA